GGGACCAUGAGAUCCAGACCAAAGCUCAGAGGAUCCAUAAGAGACCAGACCUCCCUGGACCUGAGCCCAGCUGUGUGUCCAUGAAGAGUGACAGGUCAAAGCGUCACCUCAUUGAUUUCAAAGGACAGCCUCCCUCUGCUGCAAAGAAAGUGGACCAGGAGAGCUCAGAGGUUCCCAGUGC